UACGGAGGGUGCAAGCGUUAUCCGGAUUUACUGGGUUUAAAGGGUGCGCAGGCGGAUAUAUAAGUCAGUGGUGAAAUCUCUAGGCUUAACCUGGAAAUUGCCGUUGAUACUAUAUAUCUUGAAUGCUGUGGAGGUAAGCGGAAUAUGUCAUGUAGCGGUGAAAUGCUUAGAUAUGACAUAGAACACCUAUUGCGAAGGCAGCUUACUACGCAGAUAUUGACGCUCAUGCACGAAAGCGUGGGGAUCAAACAGG
rnacentral:rRNA from 1 species